rnacentral:ncRNA from 1 species
CUCUAAUACGAUAUUCAGAUUAUAUAUUUUACGGAAUAUAUACAGUAAAUGUAUUAGUAUUAAAGAGAUUUAUUUCUUCCUUUUAAAGGUAAAAAUGAAUCAAUAGAAUAGAUAUUAGUAAAAGUUUGAAUAUAUCU